rnacentral:rRNA from 1 species
GAUGAACGCUGGCGGCGUGCCUAAUACAUGCAAGUCGAACGCUUUGUCUUUAAUUGCUAUGAAGAGCUUGCUCUGAUUUGAUUUUAUCUGACAAAGAGUGGCGAACGGGUGAGUAACACGUGGGUAACCUACCUCUUAGCAGGGGAUAACAUUUGGAAACAAGUGCUAAUACCGUAUAACACUAACAACCGCAUGGUUGUUAGUUGAAAGAUGGUUCUGCUAUCACUAAGAGAUGGACCCGCGGUGCAUUAGCUAGUUGGUAAGGUAAUGGCUUACCAAGGCGAUGAUGCGUAGCCGAGUUGAGAGACUGAUCGGCCACAAUGGGACUGAGACACGGCCCAUACUCCUACGGGAGGCAGCAGUAGGGAAUCUUCCACAAUGGGCGCAAGCCUGAUGGAGCAACGCCGCGUGUGUGAUGAAGGGUUUCGGCUCGUAAAACACUGUUAUAAGAGAAGAACGAUAUUGAGAGUAACUGUUCAGUGUGUGACGGUAUCUUAUCAGAAAGGAACGGCUAAAUACGUG